rnacentral:rRNA from 1 species
GACGAACGCUGGCGGCGUGCUUAACACAUGCAAGUCGAACGGAAAGGCCCUGCUUUUGUGGGGUGCUCGAGUGGCGAACGGGUGAGUAACACGUGAGUAACCUGCCCUUGACUUUGGGAUAACUUCAGGAAACUGGGGCUAAUACCGGAUAGGAGCUCCUGCUGCAUGGUGGGGGUUGGAAAGUUUCGGCGGUCGGGGAUGGACUCGCGGUUUAUCAGCUUGUUGGGGGGUAGUGGCUUACCAAGGCUUUGAGGGGUAGCCGGCCUGAGAGGGUGACCGGCGACAUUGGGACUGAGAUACGGCCCAGACUCCUACGGGAGGCAGCAGUGGGGAAUAUUGCACAAUGGGCGGAAGCCUGAUGCAGCAACGCCGCGUGCGGGAUGACGGCCUUCGGGUUGUAAACCGCUUUCGCCUGUGACGAAGCGUGAGUGACGGUAAUGGGUAAAGAAGCACCGGCUAACUACGUG